AUUGAACGCUAGCGGCAGGCCUAAUACAUGCAAGUCGAACGCGGGGUAGCAAUACCUCGAGUGGCGCACGGGUGCGUAACGCGUAACCAACCUGCCCUUGACAGGGGGAUAGCCCGCCGAAAGGCGGAUUAAUACCGCAUAAACCAGCAGCCUGGCAUCAGGCAACUGGUAAAGAUUUAUUGGUCAAGGAUGGGGUUGCGUGACAUUAGCUAGUUGGCGGGGUAACGGCCCACCAAGGCGACGAUGUCUAGGGGACCUGAGAGGGUGAUCCCCCACACUGGCAGUGAGAUACGGGCCAGACUCCUACGGGAGGCAGCAGUAGGGAAUAUUGGGCAAUGGGCGAGAGCCUGACCCAGCCAUGCCGCGUGCCGGAUGAAGGCCUUCUGGGUUGUAAACGGCUUUUCUCAGGGAAGAAAACGACCAUGCGUGGUACACUGACGGUACCUGAGGAAUAAGCACCGGCUAACUCCGUGCCAGCCGCCGCAGUAAUAC
rnacentral:rRNA from 1 species